rnacentral:tRNA from 1 species
GCGGGCGUGAUCUAGGGGUUAUGAUACAAGCUUCCCAAGCUUGUUGCCCGGGUUCGAUUCCCGGCGCCCGCA